CAAACUCGGUCAUUUAGAGGAAGUAAAAGUCGUAACAAGGUCUCCGUAGGUGAACCUGCGGAGGGAUCAUUACACAAAUAUGAAGGCGGGCUGGAACCUCUCGGGGUUACAGCCUUGCUGAAUUAUUCACCCUUGUCUUUUGCGUACUUCUUGUUUCCUUGGUGGGUUCGCCCACCACUAGGACAAACAUAAACCUUUUGUAAUUGCAAUCAGCGUCAGUAACAAAUUAAUAAUUACAACUUUCAACAACGGAUCUCUUGGUUCUGGCAUCGAUGAAGAACGCAGCGAAAUGCGAUAAGUAGUGUGAAUUGCAGAAUUCAGUGAAUCAUCGAAUCUUUGAACGCACAUUGCGCCCUUUGGUAUUCCAAAGGGCAUGCCUGUUCGAGCGUCAUUUGUACCCUCAAGCUUUGCUUGGUGUUGGGCGUCUUGUCUCUAGCUUUGCUGGAGACUCGCCUUAAAGUAAUUGGCAGCCGGCCUACUGGUUUCGGAGCGCAGCACAAGUCGCACUCUCUAUCAGCAAAGGUCUAGCAUCCAUUAAGCCUUUUUUUCAACUUUUGACCUCGGAUCAGGUAGGGAUACCCGCUGAACUUAAGCAUAUCAAUAAGCGGAGGA
rnacentral:rRNA from 1 species